AAGACGGUGUGAAGAACUGAUUACGCAAGUUCCAGAAUCUACAAGGCCGCUUUUAAGGCAAAUUGAAGCCAUGCAGGAAACAAAUGCCAGAAGAGCCGAAGCUUGGGCUGCUGUUGAAAGAAGUCUUAAUUCUCGACUUCAGGAAGCUGAGGCUAAAGCUGCAACUGCUGAGGAAAGAGAGCGAUCUGUGAAUGAUCGCUUAUCUC